CGGGCCGGUCCGUUUACCCCUUUUUUUUCUUUUAGACCUUUUCUUUUUCUGUUUUUCCCAUUUCUUUGAUAUCUUUUGAGUUUGAACUCCAAAUUGGUCCAAAUGAAUUCUAGAAAAUUUGUAAAAUCUUGUUCUACCAUGAUACAACUUUUGGAAGUAGUUUCUCUUCAAAAUAAAAUAUAUAAAAAUACAUUUGCCCUAUAAAUGCCCUUAGGGCUAUAUAUCCAUUUAAAUAAAAUACUUUUUCAACUCCAAAUAAUUAUCCCAAAAUUAUGGGAUAGCUCAUAUGUGCAAUAAACCCCUUAUAUAUAUAAACUUUAAUGGUUUGAAAAUCCAAGGCUCAAUUAGGUGUAAACAAAAUCUUUUAAAGCCUUUUGUGAUUCAAAUUUGAAUUCAAACAUGCAAUUGUGGCAUGAUGCUCAUGGAUGCAAUGCACAUGUAAAGGUUUGAAAUUUUGGGAUGUUACACCCAAGGUGCGUCACUGAGGUCGAGUCAAGACUAGGCUCGACCCAAGCACUCGAGAGCAGGCCCCUUGGGAUGCUCUAGCCCUCUCCCCUUGGGUUUGAGCUUUGCAUCAUCGUUGGCCGAUAGAACAAGGCUUUUGUCCUGGUCGCGCUCGGCGCAAGAUGGUCGCUGCAUAUUCCUGGGUAGACCUUGGGUAGGAGUUUGGUUCCUUGGUUGAGGGCAUGCAUUUAAGCAAAGCGGCGACACCCUUCUUGUGUGGGACGCCGUCGAGUAGGACGUACAACCUGGCUUUUGCAAGCAGAGUCUUGGCGUUUGGGCCUCUUGCUUCUUUGUCCACCUCGCCUUUCUAGGCGCGGAUAAUUGGAGUCAUCCAAGAAGGUGGACUAUCGAUGACCAUGCUGGUCAUUGAAGAUUCGUCUUGAUUUUCGGCUUCUUCCUUUCUGGAUAGGGCAUGCGUCACUUCGAAGAAAAGCACCGGUGGUAGCGGUUCCUUGGAACCGGCCGUUCGGGCUAGUCCAUCGGCAAGGUGAUUUUCUCCCCGUGGGACGCGUCGUGCCUCCAUACCAGCUGGCAGUCCCCUUGGAUGAGCAUGCGUUGAACGACCAUGGCCUUAGCCAAUCGGAGUCCGAGAUGGAGCACCUCAUACUCUGCCA
rnacentral:lncRNA from 1 species